UACAGAGGUGCCGAGCGUUAGGCGGAAUCACUGGGCUUAAAGCGUGUGUAGGCGGACUCCUAAGUACCUUGUGAAAUCCCACGGCUCACCCGUGGAACGGCUGGGUAUACUGGGCGUCUUGAGCCUUCUAGGGGCCAGCGGAACAAAUGGUGGAGCGGUGAAAUGCGUAGAUAUCAGGAGGAACACCGGUGGCGAAGGCGGGUCUCUGGGCCGAUAUUGACGCUGAGGAGCGAAAGCGUGGGGAGCGAACAGG
rnacentral:rRNA from 1 species